ACGAACGCUGGCGGCAGGCCUAACACAUGCAAGUCGAACGCCCCGCAAGGGGAGUGGCAGACGGGUGAGUAACGCGUGGGAACGUACCCUUCGGUUCGGAAUAACUCAGGGAAACUUGGGCUAAUACCGGAUACGUCCGUAAGGAGAAAGAUUUAUCGCCGAAGGAUCGGCCCGCGUCGGAUUAGCUAGUUGGCGGGGUAAUGGCCCACCAAGGCGACGAUCCGUAGCUGGUCUGAGAGGAUGAUCAGCCACAUUGGGACUGAGACACGGCCCAAACUCCUACGGGAGGCAGCAGUGGGGAAUAUUGGACAAUGGGCGAAAGCCUGAUCCAGCCAUGCCGCGUGAGUGAUGAAGGCCUUAGGGUUGUAAAGCUCUUUCAGCGGGGAAGAUAAUGACGGUACCCGCAGAAGAAGCCCCGGCUAACUUCGU
rnacentral:rRNA from 1 species